UUUAAAUGCCUCUUGAUUUCAAAAAGCAAUAAAGCUAAGCAGAAGUUCUUUUCCAACUUAUGAGUAAUUUUUGUGCAAUUGAAUUCAGAAUAAAAAAUAACAUAGAAGCUGACCUUUACUUUUAAAUAGAUAAUUUGGGCCCAGACAAGCAGCAUGGGAAACAGAUGCAGCAGAAGGGCUUAGCUACUGCUGGCAUGCUCUCUCUGGCAGAGGUGAGCUCUCCUUGCCUUGACUCCCUAUCUUUUUCCAAUCAUGGUGUACCUGAUAGCAGGACUGUCUGGAACAUCAUCCUACAGCCUGCACAGGAGCACCACAUAAUGAUGGCUUUGAAGGAUGUCCUGCUAGUUAAAUAUUGCUCCUGGAGGACGUUAUGUUUAAUGACAGUCUAGGGCAGCCUGCAUGCACCUGCUCUGUAUCUGUAAGCAGUACAUCUUUUCAGGCCUUCUGCUGGACAAAGGUGUGGCUCACAGCUCCUGACUUUUCAGUCCUUUUCUGCACUCACUGCCCUUUCAGUCUGCCCAUAUGCAAGGCAUGCUUGAGCUCUUGGGCUCAUGGGUAUGUGAUUAAAAUAACCACUAAAUCUUCCCUUUGAGUCUUUUUUUUUUCCAUGAGCUUUCUCAUUUCUGGCGUUGAGGAGAAUACUAUCUUAGAGAGCCACAGCAUCUGGGAGGCUGGGCAAGCUUCAGUCUUGGAGUUGUUCACUAGUCACGAGAGAAAGGUGCUGAGCAACCAGAUUUAUCUUUAGAUUCAGCACAGCUGUGGGCUGGGGGUUGGACUCCAGACUUCCAGAGGUGGGGAAACCACCUGAAUCUUUCUGUGAAGAUAAACAUUUGCUCUUUGCUUUCACCACUACUGUAGCUUUUUAUUUGUUGUUGUUUUUCUUCUUACACAAUCAAUGCCAUUCAUCAGGCUGUUGUUUCAUUUCAAAAUCCUGAGAUGGGUGAGGCAAAACAAGCCUUUAAAGGAAAUCUGUUGGUUUUACUGCUGCAUUUGCAAGAUCUGAAUUGCUCUUAAACUCCCAGUGUUUCCUCCCACAGUAGCUUACCUUGUUAGCGUGCUGACCAAUUACUGUGUGUGAAAAUGUAUUACGGGAUAAAGUGAUGGUUCAGAAAAUAAGCAAAAAUGUUCAUACUGCAACUUUGCCAGAGCUGCUUUGCUCUGCUCUACCAGCUUUGUGCUCCUGUGAUUGCUGAAAUAGCUACUUAGGAGGGCAGGGAGAAAGAAUUUAAAGAAAGCUGUUUAAAUGCCACCUCUAUCACCUGGAUAUUGUCGGUGAAUAUAAGGACUCCAAGUGUGUAAUAACGAAAGUACAAUUAAGGACAAGUCAGAGCGAAGCUUUUAUUAAUUAUAAUUGUAGGGAGGACACAUUCAGAUGGGUGCCCUGGUGGAGCUGCCAAGUGACUACAGUGAUGUGACUUCAUGUUGUUCCAAGAUGACAGGCUGUCAUCCAACUUCUACAGCAAGAAAUCCAAACUACAGAAUUACAGCCGAGAAGGCAAAGAACACCCUCUAUGAGAAUGCCUGCUUCCAGGGAUCCUCCAAACAAUUCACCAGUGACAUUGCCAAUCUGAAAGAUGUGCACUGGAAUGACUGUUUCCUCAGUAAAAGUAAUAGAACAGCUUUGGGUGGCUUAUGAGCACCCCUGCUAUGGCAGGCCAGGUAUUGGUAUUUGAGGAGGGGCAACAUAGAUUUGUUGGUGAACAGCUAAAUGGCAAGAUCACUUUCCUGCAGAUGAUUUCCUGAAAGCCUGCAUGAUCUGCAGAUUAGUCUAUGAACAUGCUCAGUAGUGAGGGAAGAGCAUUGUGAUAACAGAAAAAAACAGACUGGGUUGGAGGCAUGCCACUGACAUUUUCACCAAGUCCAGAGAGGAGCGUGGCCAUUGUGUGAACACAAAGAUGUGAUUUUUUUGCUAGAUUGCACGAGAACGUGAACACCUUCCGAAUUACAACACAAUUUCAAUGACAAGCUUCCAUUUGUACAUCUACUUCUGCCACAGACAUGUUAAAUAGCUGGUGUGCCAAGCAGUGACAACCACCAAAAGCAAGCAAGGAAUCCCAACAAGCCUAUCUUCCCCGCUUCUGUGGGCAUCACUGGAUACAAAAGACACCUUUCAUGUGUCAAAUAGGCAAAUGAGAUGAGGACAAGAAGGAGGACACUGAAGAAGCUUUGUGUUUCGCAAGCCACGGAUCUGCUUUGAGGACAACCAGAGUUGUCCUUUGGAACAAGUUCAGAGUUUCUUCAGGAUUGUGACUGUUUCUAUACUUUACCUCCAAAGGAGCAUACUAAAAACUACACACGUUUCAGUAUAAUUUGAAUAAUUAAUUGCAUUUGCAUAUGAAAAAUGCAAGGCUUUAUUACAGAUAUAAUAAGAUGCUCACUGUUUCAGGAACUGUUCUGACAUGUACAGGAUUAUCUGGAGAAUUUGGAGUUGCAGUUCCAAAUGACACUGCUAAAUGGCACCUGCAAUCUGAGCCGUACUGUUUGCAGUUGUUGUGCAGCUCUGCAUUUUAUAUCUCAUCUGUCUCAGUGCUGAGUUCCUGCUCUUGCAUUUGUAGCUGGACACAGAGCCUAUAAGCAUGCAGAGUGAUCAACUGCUGAGUGAUCAACUGCUGGGCUUUGACCUGUUUAAAAACAAACACAGCAGGAUCUUUUGAUGUGUCAGCACAUCAACACUGUCACCAAAGCUCAUGUGGGUAGAUGCAAAACGACAAUUCAGGCUUCAUGUGCUGUGGGACACUUCUUACUAAUAUGGGCUCAAUUUCUGAUUUUCUUGCUUUAUUCAUCACAAAUCUUUUAAAAGGAUUUCAAAACUCAAUUCAGAGAACUCUGAGUAUUGUCCUUACUAUAGGCCAAAAUAAUUAGAACAAUAUGAAGCCAGCUGUGCCAAAAGGAAGAAGUGGUGCCAUGAGGCAGAGGGGAAGAAUCUAACAUUGGUCUGUUCAAAUGUAGACUGUGGCAGGGGUGCCAGUGAAUCUGCUGUGUGUGGUGUUCCCAGCCUGCUCAGUAAGGCAGGUCAGUCUGGCUGUAUCAUCAUUGUUAGCCAUCUCCCAGUAGGCCAUUACCUUAUAAAAUAUAUUUUACUCUGCGAUUUUAAGCACAUCAUA